rnacentral:rRNA from 1 species
CGCGUAGGCGGUUUUGUCAGUCGGAUGUGAAAGCCCCGGGCUUAACCUGGGAAUUGCAUUCGAUACUGCAUGACUAGAGUAUGGUAGAGGGAAGUGGAAUUUCCGGUGUAGCGGUGAAAUGCGUAGAUAUCGGGAGGAACAUCAGUGGCGAAGGCGGCUUUCUGGCCCAAUACUGACACUCAUGUGCGAAAGCGUGGGGAGCAAACA